GGUCCUAUAGGAUAACCUAAACCAUUACAUUUUCGUUGUAAAAAUAAAGAAAUUUUAAGGCCA
rnacentral:tRNA from 1 species